rnacentral:rRNA from 1 species
CUGCUGCCUCCCGUAGGAGUCUGGGCCGUGUCUCAGUCCCAGUGUGGGGGGCCUUCCUCUCAGAACCCCUACGCAUCGUCGCCACGGUGGGCCGUCACCCCGCCGUCUAGCUAAUGCGCCGCAUGCCCAUCCGCCACCGGAUCGCUCCUUUGGCCACCGGAGGAUGCCCUCCGGUGGCGUCACGGGGUAUUAGGCCGCGUUUCCGCGGGUUAUCCCCCUGUGGCGGCCAGGUUGCAUACGUGUUACUCACCGUGCGCCGGUCGCCGGCGGG